rnacentral:rRNA from 1 species
UACGUAGGCAGCGAGCGUUGUUCGGAGUUACUGGGCGUAAAGCGUGCGUAGGCGGUGGUCCAAGUCUGGUGUGAAAUCUCCCGGCUUAACUGGGAGGGUGCGCCGGAAACUGGGCCGCUGGAGUGCGGGAGAGGGAAGCGGAAUUCCAGGUGUAGCGGUGAAAUGCGUAGAUAUCUGGAGGAACACCCGUGGUGCAGACGGCUUGCUGGACCGUGACUGACGCUGAGGCACGAAAGCGUGGGUAGCAAACAGG